rnacentral:rRNA from 1 species
AUUGAACGCUGGCGGCAGGCUUAACACAUGCAAGUCGAACGAGUGGCGGACGGGUGAGUAAUGUCUGGGAAACUGCCUGAUGGAGGGGGAUAACCACUGGAAACGGUAGCUAAUACCGCAUACCAUCAGAUGUGCCCAGCUGGGAUUAGCUAGUAGGUGGGGUAAGGGCUCACCAGGGGGACGAUCCCCAACUGGUCUGAGAGGAUGACCAGCCACACUGGAACUGAGACACGGUCCAGACUCCUAGGGUAGGCAGAAGGGGGGAAUAUUGGACAAUGGGCGCAAGCCUGAUGCAGCCAUGCCGCGUGUGUGAAGAAGGCCUUCGGGUUGUAAAGUACUUUCAGCGGGGAGGCGGUACCCGCAGAAGAAGCACCGGCUAACUCCGUGCCAGCAGCCGCGGUAAUUC